rnacentral:rRNA from 1 species
GACGAACCGAGCGAACGUUGUUCGGAAUCACUGGGCUUAAAGGGCGCGUAGGCGGGUGCUCAAGUCCGGGGUGAAAUCCUCCAGCUCAACUGGAGAACUGCCUCGGAUACUGGGUGUCUCGAGGGUGGUAGGGGUAUGCGGAACUAUCGGUGGAGCGGUGAAAUGCGUUGAUAUCGAUAGGAACACCAGUGGCGAAGGCGACUACCUGGCCUGUUCUUGACGCUGAGGCGCGAAAGCUAGGGGAGCAAACGGG